rnacentral:rRNA from 1 species
GAGUUUGAUCCUGGCUCAGAUUGAACGCUGGCGGCAGGCCUAACACAUGCAAGUCGAACGGUAACAGGAAGAAGCUUGCUUCUUUGCUGACGAGUGGCGGACGGGUGAGUAAUGUCUGGGAAACUGCCUGAUGGAGGGGGAUAACUACUGGAAACGGUAGCUAAUACCGCAUAACGUCGCAAGACCAAAGAGGGGGACCUUCGGGCCUCUUGCCAUCGGAUGUGCCCAGAUGGGAUUAGCUAGUAGGUGGGGUAACGGCUCACCUAGGCGACGAUCCCUAGCUGGUCUGAGAGGAUGACCAGCCACACUGGAACUGAGACACGGUCCAGACUCCUACGGGAGGCAGCAGUGGGGAAUAUUGCACAAUGGGCGCAAGCCUGAUGCAGCCAUGCCGCGUGUAUGAAGAAGGCCUUCGGGUUGUAAAGUACUUUCAGCGGGGAGGAAGGGAGUAAAGUUAAUACCUUUGCUCAUUGACGUUACCCGCAGAAGAAGCACCGGCUAACUCCGUGCCAGCAGCCGCGGUAAUACGGAGGGUGCAAGCGUUAAUCGGAAUUACUGGGCGUAAAGCGCACGCAGGCGGUUUGUUAAGUCAGAUGUGAAAUCCCCGGGCUCAACCUGGGAACUGCAUCUGAUACUGGCAAGCUUGAGUCUCGUAGAGGGGGGUAGAAUUCCAGGUGUAGCGGUGAAAUGCGUAGA